GCGAGAAGUAUUUUUUGAGCGAUUAGUGAGCAUCAUUUCGCGCAUUAUUUACUUUCUAUUUUUAUUUAGCAACUCUGAGUAUCACGAAGGAGCGACAGUGGUGAAGUAAGAGAGAAGAAAGCACAUUAGGUGUCGGUGGAACAAUAAUUCUCUCUAUAGAUCUGCGUAUAAUUGAGCAUUUUAACAAUUUGAAUAGAGGAGUAGAUAUCUGAUAGGUAUAUCGGCGGAAUAAUCAAUAAGAUCAAUAUGUAACUGACGAUCUUAUGACAAUCUGAGAGAAGGAGAAAAUCUAGGAGAGUCUGCAGACACUAUGGAAUCAACAUAAAUGACAAUCUGAGAGGAGGAGGAGGUCUGGGAAAGACAUCGGGCAUCAGUGGAGCAACUAUAUAGGAUCAACGUAGUGUGAAUACAGUCAACUCUGUUCUUUGCACAUCGGCCAGUGAGUGAAAAACUAUUAUUUAUUACAAAAGGUAACGGUUUUGUAGAGAUUAAAUUAUGUAGAGAUGCGUAGAUGUAAAUUGUAGGCUGUGUAGACUGUAGAUCGUAAAUAGUUCCGUUACCUUAAAAUAAAUGGAU